UGGGGAAUAUUGUACAAUGGGCGCAAGCCUGAUGCAGCCAUGCCGCGUGUGUGAAGAAGGCCUUCGGGUUGUAAAGCACUUUCAGCGGGGAGGAAGGCGGUGAGGUUAAUAACCUCAUCGAUUGACGUUACCCGCAGAAGAAGCACCGGCUAACUCCGUGCCAGCAGCCGCGGUAAUACGGAGGGUGCAAGCGUUAAUCGGAAUUACUGGGCGUAAAGCGCACGCAGGCGGUCUGUCAAGUCGGAUGUGAAAUCCCCGGGCUCAACCUGGGAACUGCAUUCGAAACUGGCAGGCUAGAGUCUUGUAGAGGGGGGUAGAAUUCCAGGUGUAGCGGUGAAAUGCGUAGAGAUCUGGAGGAAUACCGGUGGCGAAGGCGGCCCCCUGGACAAAGACUGACGCUCAGGUGCGAAAGCGUGGGGAGCAAACAGG
rnacentral:rRNA from 1 species